rfam:Novosphingobium sp. MBES04 DNA, scaffold: MBES4S01.
GGAGCGGGCCGGGCCCCUCUGGCGCGAGCGAUUGAGCCUCUUCCAUGCGGAGCGCUGAUCGCCGCGUGAUGUCGGACCGCAUCG